GUUUCUUCCAAACUCCAGCCAUUUCUGCCCCACACUGCACAAUGGGCAGAGCACUAACCGCCGAAAAAAUACGUUGAACGUUGCACGCGCGGGAGACGUGACCGUUAACUUCAGGGGGAGGCAAACUCAGGUUAGGAUAGCGGAUUGGUCAAAUGAUAGGACCUUAACAAAUAAUGGCCAAUAGUAGUAAUUGUAGGGCGGGUCUUGGCGCUACCAUAGUGGGAGUCGUAAUUUUGCUGGAGGGUGAGAAGUGUCCGUUGGUCACUUCUGCUGCACGUGUUGGCUUUUGUCCCUGCCACGCUGAAAAGGAUGGAGAAAAACAAAGUGCAGGCAAAAAAGAGGCUACGAGUUCCCACUCAGAAAAUGAAGGACCUGAGCACCCCUCCCCCAAAUGAGCAAUCUGGGUAUGUUGCGUUCGUCAGAUGGGAGGAUGGUUAUACCGGAAAAAUCUUUAAAGGAUCUGACAUUUUGGCAAGGGACGAGGCUCCUGUGCAGCUGCAAGAUCUUAGAUCAGGAGAUCCUGUUUUAGCAAAGUGGUCAGAUGGUAAAUUUUAUAGGGCGACUGUUGAAUAUAUUUCAGGGGAAGAUCAGGCUAAGCUGCCAAAAAGCCACCCAACUCCACAGGAGUCCUUUAAAUAUGUUAAAAGGUGAUGAGCCAUCAGAUUCAACGUCAGGGUCCGACACUAUUAUAAUAGAUAGGAGCCCACUGUCUGAGUAUGGCGAGAAAAUCUCAUCGCUGAAUCCGUCAACUGACGGGGGACAUGCAACAGGCCGCAACACAGCUGGACCACCACCCUAUGGGUAGGUUUGUCAUAAUUAUUACAUAAUC